ensembl:lncRNA
UUCUGACAAAGCAGGCUUUACCUCGGGCUGGGGAGCAGCACCUGCGGGAGGAGGACCAGGGGACUGAGCUGCACUGUGGAGCGUAUGACGAGGAGGGCAACCCACAGAUGGCCUUUGUUCUGAUCAAACAGGAGGUGGACUGGGAGGCAGACUAUUCUGAUGACUACUCCCCUGGGUACAUACUGCUGAAGAAGGAGGGGGGCAGGCCCCCGACUCUGGUCCGCAGACAACCUCUCAGAGAGUUACCAGGCAGAGCCCUGGUUCCUCCUGGAGCCGUCAGGGCCCUGAUCAACCGUUACACCCAGGAAAGGCCUCCCACCACCCAGUCUACCUCAGGAGCCGCAGCGGCCGUCUUCCAGGGAGAUCCAGACACCCAGGAGGCCCCCCAGGCUCUCAGCCCAUCCCAGCCCAGGACCAGAGAGGUUACCAGUGGUAGUGCAGGCCAGUCCCCUGGAGCAGAACAGCAGUCACUGGUAAGACCAGCAGCAGAGUCUCCAUCAACAUUACACCAGACAGCAUCUCCUCAAUCAGCAGCCACUAUCCAGUCUACAUCACCUGUCCUGUCUGCUGUAUUGGUCCAGUCCACGGUAACUACUCUGUCAAAAGAAACUGUCCAGUCGACCCUAACGGUGAAGUCGACAGCAGCAGCGUCAGAGCGCCUGCCACCUGUCCUCUACGGGUUACCCAGAACCCCUCUUCAGGAUACACAGCCCAGCCCCGUACCCCCUCGUCCACCCCAAUCAUCCCCAUCGCAGUCCUUCACAGACGUUCUACCUGUAGCUCGUCCAAUAGCAGUGCCCUCAACACAAUCAGCUAGGCCUACAGGACCACCGGCCGCACCACCAACACAACCGCAACCGCCUACAGUUUUGGAGCAGUUGGGUGUUGCAACAUCACUAACACCAUCGGUCCAGUCCGCUCCUUCUCCAACUGUGUUGACAGAACCUGCCGGCCCCCCUGAAAAGCAGGCGCCGUUGGUCACUGAUCAUGUGCAACUCUCCCCCACUGUGCCACGACUGAAGUCACCUGCUGUCCCAGAGAGGAUGUCUGAUGAAGCUCCUCCUCAGCUGUCAGACCCUGCUGUAACUACACCCUCUUGCCCCUUUCAAAUGUCUAAGACACAGUUUUUAGCUCAGUUGUCAGUAGUACCCCAAGUACGCGCCCUGCCGUGGUUGGAGGAAGAGGAGGAGGAAAAAGGGGGGGAGGAAGAUGAAGGGCAGGAAGAUGAGGGAGGGCUUUCUUCCCUCCCUGCCACGUCUACGGAAGCUGUGACAACCAGGUCUGUCGCUACGGAGACGACCCCCGCCAGCGAGAAAAAGGAGAUUGUUGUCCAGGUAGGUGGUGGCAGAAAGUCAAGUCAACGUGAAGCGCUCCUCUCUGGUCUCCGCCUCCGCUUAAGGCCCUGCCCCCAGAACAAUACUCCAUCUCCAGUGGUUGCUAAGAAACCCAGAGAAGAGGGAACCGCCCCCCGGUACCAUACCAGCUCCAACAGGCUCCGCCGAAAAGUCUCGCCAAAAACCAGUGUGCAGACUGCGGUCGUGUCCUGA